rnacentral:rRNA from 1 species
UACGGGGGGGGCAAGCGUUGUUCGGAAUUACUGGGCGUAAAGGGCUCGUAGGCGGCCAACUAAGUCGGAUGUGAAAUCCCCAGGCUUAACCUGGGAACUGCAUCCGAUACUGGAUGGCUUGAAUUCGGGAGAGGGAUGCAGAAUUCCAGGUGUAGCGGUGAAAUGCGUAGAUAUCUGGAGGAAUACCGGUGGCGAAGGCGGCAUCCUGGACCGAGAUUGACGCUGAGGCGCGAAAGCCAGGGGAGCAAACGGG